AGACGACUGGGUUGAUAGGCCAGAUGUGGAAGCCCGGUAACGGGUGGAGCUGACUGGUACUAAUAGGCCGAGGGCUUGUCCUC
rnacentral:ncRNA from 1 species